GAUGAACGCUAGCGGCAGGCUUAAUACAUGCAAGUCAAGGGGGUAGCAAUACAACCGGCGCAAGGGUGAGUAACGCGUACACAACAUACCAUAUACUGGAGUAUAGCUUUGGGAAACUGAAGGUAAUCCUCCAUAACAUUGCGAGAGGGCAUCUGAUUGCAAUUAAAGUUCCGACGGUAUAUGAUUGGUGUGCGUUUGAUUAGCUAGUUGGUAGGGUAACGGCCUACCAAGGCGACGAUCAAUAGCUGGCGUGAGAGCGCGACCAGCCACACUGGAACUGAGACACGGUCCAGACCCCUACGGGAGGCAGCAGUAGGGAAUAUUGGACAAUGGGCGAAAGCCUGAUCCAGCCAUGCCGCGUGAUAGAUGAAGGCCCUCUGGGUUGUAAAUAUCUUUUAUCUGGGAAGAAACUCCUCUAUUCUUAGAGGCCUGACGGUACCAGAGGAAUAAGCACCGGCUAACUCCGUGCCAGCAGCCGCGGUAAAGUA
rnacentral:rRNA from 1 species